UACGUAGGUGGCGAGCGUUGUUCGGAAUUAUUGGGCGUAAAGCGCGUGUAGGCGGGAUGAUAAGUCGGGUGUGAAAGCCCUCAGCUUAACUGAGGAAGUGCGCCCGAAACUGUCGUUCUUGAGUGCCGGAGAGGGUGGCGGAAUUCCCGGUGUAGAGGUGAAAUUCGUAGAUAUCGGGAGGAACACCAGUGGCGAAGGCGGCCACCUGGACGGACACUGACGCUGAGACGCGAAAGCGUGGGGAGCAAACAGG
rnacentral:rRNA from 1 species